UACAGAGGGGGCCAGCGUUAUUCGGAAUUAUUGGGCGUAAAGGGCGCGUAGGCGGCCAUGCGUGUCUUCCGUGAAAUCCCUCGGCUUAACUGAGGACGUGCGGAAGAAACUGCAAGGCUCGAGUCCGGGAGAGGGGGGUGGAAUUCCCAGUGUAGCGGUGAAAUGCGUAGAUAUCAUUUGGAACGCCAAUGGUGAAAACAGGUUGCUGGGGGUGUGCUGACGCUGAGACACGAAAGCCAGGGGAGCGAACGGG
rnacentral:rRNA from 1 species